GGGUCGGAUCAAAGUCGUACUUUGCGCAAUUUUCCGCGUAGAAGCUCCGGUGCUUCGCUUCAUUCUCUUCGCUCCGACACUCUCUCUCUCUGUGUUCGUAUUUUCCGUGGAGUCAUCAAUGGAGUUCGGUGCAGUUGCAGCAGAACCCUAGCCCUCCCGCGACGUCAACGGCGGCAUCUUUCAUGCGCUUCUCCUCGGAUCAUCUUCAUUCCAUCUCUCGGUCGCUCUCUCUCUCUCUCUCCAUCGAAGCUCGUGGACUGGCGAUCCUCCUCUCGCGGACCUCGUCUUCUCUCGGCCGACUCAGCGCUCGAAGCUCAUUUCGAAGACAAGUACGUGGCACGUUCCCCUUUGUCGUAUUCCCUGAUUGUGGAUGGAUUAUCUUCGUCGCACUAACUGGUAUGGUAUUCUCAAUCACGAGUGGAAAACGUAAUCCAGUCGAAGCGGUUGAAACGUGGUGUGGAUAUUUUCUGAUGUUCGCGAGGAAGUCGUAAUGCAUGAGGAAACAUGACAGCGCUACCAAACAAGAGGCCAGGGAUUAGCAGAUGAUGGGGUUGCUAAGGUACAUUCUCUUUGUAAAGGAUGUCUUAGAAUGGUCCUUAAUAAGGAGGCUGAAAAAAUUCAUCAAGCUAUUGUCAACCUCAGUGUACUUCUGCUACUCAGAAUGCAGCAAGGACAACUGUGCGCAUUUUGGAAAGUUUGAUUCACCUAGCUGAAAGUAUGAUACCAUCAAUAUAUGGCCAUGUUCUUAGAGUAUAUACUAUUUUGUGCCGCUAAAGAAUGUUUCAAGGCCGAUUAUAUCACAUGCAAGAUUAAUGUUCAGAAAUGAAGUUACCUAUCUUGAUCCAAUUGCAUCCAUUAGCCAUUGUGGGCAGCAUUUGAAAUGCUCUUCACGCCAUUUUUGGUGAAAAUCCUGAUCAUGAAAUCCUUGUCUGUUCCUAGUCCUAUUAUCAUUCAUCCAUGCACAAACUCAAUCGUUGUACUUAUUUUUAUGCAUAUGUCAGCUCGCUUUACCUAGAAGCGUGUGUCCAUGUUUUGUGUUGGCUUUCAUAGAUUUGUGACUUAGCAGAACUUUUGUUACCCACAAAAAGAACUAACCAGCGGUGAGAUCGAGAAACUUAAUAGCUUUUCUAGAUUCGAUGAGUUUUGCCUCUAAGUUGGGUAAUUCUGUAAAAUAUAGUUGUGAAUGAGCUUUCAAGACAAUGAUAAUCA